UUUGCUUGACAAUUUGUGUCUGCUCGAUUUCUACUCCGGCUACCUUCUCUGAGAAACCGUCAAAGUUUGAUAAUUCACUUCUCCGACUUGAAGGCCGGCCGCUGCAAGUGUGUCGUUCAGAACUGACUCCGGAGGUCAGUUGAUGGCCAUCGAUAUGCUCCUUCUUGAUGCCAAUGUGAGUUAGCUAGGAGCAGCUACUGUCCAUGUCUGCACUUCUGAAGGUGAAACAGCUUCAGAUCCUUCACAAGGACACCCCAUAAUGGAAGUAGAAAUCAACCAGAGAACAAAAUUUCCGAGCUAUGUAUUAGGAUAGUGG